rnacentral:tRNA from 1 species
GCCCCGGUAGCCCAGCGGUAGAGGCAAUGGAUUCAAAACCCAUCCAGCGUCGGUUCGAAUCCGACUCGGGGUA